rnacentral:rRNA from 1 species
AGAGCGAACGCUGGCGGCAGGCCUAACACAUGCAAGUCGAGCGCCCGUAGCAAUACGGGAGCGGCAGACGGGAUAGUAACACGUGGGAACGCGCCCUUCGGUUCGGAAUAACUCAGGGAAACUUGAGCUAAUACCGGAUACGCCCUUACGGGGAAAGAUUUAUUGCCGAAGGAACGGCCCGCGUCCGAUUAGCUAGUUGGUGAGGUAAUGGCUCACCAAGGCGACGAUCGGUAGCUGGUCUGAGAGGAUGACCAGCAUCACUGGGACUGAGACACGGCCCAGACUCCUACGGGAGGCAGCAGUGGGGAAUAUUGGACAAUGGGCGCAAGCCUGAUCCAGCCAUGCCGCGUGGAUGAUGAAGGCCUUAGGGUUGUAAAGUCCUUUUAACGGGGAAGAUAAUGACGGUACCCGUAGAAUAAGCCCCGGCUAACUUCGUGCCAGCAGGCCGC